CCACUAAUCCCGAUAUAACAGAUUCUUGACUGAUUUUUGCCGCGAAAGCGAAAAAAUGUUCUCAAAUUUGAGAACUGUCCUAAAUUGGUUCUGAGAGAUGGAAGCCGUUUUACAUGGCCUACGUCGUUUUACUUUGCACCACCUCGUUUUAUUUCACACCAUGUAUUCUUGACGGGACGCUCUUUCGGCAGAUAUAUUUUUAGUGAAGUUUCGUAGAGGAGACGUAUAUCGAAAAUGUUGUGAACGAAGCUGAAAUUGGCAUUUUUAUGCACCUAAUUUCAAGCCGAAUUAUCACCAGAGCAUGCAGCGUUUUCGGCCAGCACGAAGGCGGCAACAUAUAGAGGGUUGCUGCACUGUAUAAUUGUAAUCAUCGCUGACUGGCUGUUGGCAGAGUAUUUGAUGCGUGCACGUGUAUGGAUCCGUUCCUUCCUCAUGUUAACGUCUCAAUCAAGCAUCGUCAUCAAAACUUUGCGUAGAAGAGUGUU